rnacentral:ncRNA from 1 species
AGGUGCUCAGACUGCUUGGUUUGAGUUGAACGGGAACGAGGUGGAGGCCGCGUGAAUUCGCUGUCUCGCAAGCCUCGGCUGCCCCCGCAACGGUAGGCGAGUGUGGGUGCGUCAGGGGGCCUCCAAAUGCGGAGGCGCCAGUCACUGGACCCUUGAGGCCUGGGAAGACGACGCAUCAAGUCUCGCAAGCCCGGAUACCGGCCAGAGCA